rnacentral:ncRNA from 1 species
AGCAUGGGGCGAGCGAAUACCCCGUGAGGCGUCAGCUAAAGUUUCGCGUCCAUUGAUCCCCAGAAACGGGAGGACGCACAAUG